rnacentral:rRNA from 1 species
UACGGAGGGUGCAAGCGUUGUCCGGAAUUAUUGGGCGUAAAGAGCUCGUAGGCGGUUUGUCGCGUCUGCUGUGAAAUCCCGAGGCUCAACCUCGGGCCUGCAGUGGGUACGGGCAGACUAGAGUGCGGUAGGGGAGAUUGGAAUUCCUGGUGUAGCGGUGGAAUGCGCAGAUAUCAGGAGGAACACCGAUGGCGAAGGCAGAUCUCUGGGCCGUAACUGACGCUGAGGAGCGAAAGCGUGGGGAGCGAACAGG